UCCGUAGGUGAACCUGCGGAAGGAUCAUUAUUGAAGGGGAAGGAAACUUCCCCAAAAAGUAUAAAACCCUUGUCUAUGAGUACUAUCGUUUCCUCGGCAGGCUUGCCUGCCAAUGGGGACCCUUAUUAAUCUUUUAAUAUUGUUGUAACCGUAACCAAACAAAUAAUCAAAACUUUCAACAACGGAUCUCUUGGUUCUGGCAUCGAUGAAGAACGCAGCGAAAUGCGAUAAGUAGUGUGAAUUGCAGAAUUCAGUGAAUCAUCGAAUCUUUGAACGCACAUUGCGCCCGGUGGCAUUCCGCCGGGCACGCCUGUCCGAGCGUCAUUGCAACAAUCAAGCCUCGCUUGGUGUUGGGGGGCCCGUCGCCGCAAGGUGACCCCCCCGGAACCCGUUGGCGGUGGCCCUGCGCCCCGAUCGUCGCGCAUGUUACGACCGGACGCGGGACCGCCCGCCCCAACCACACGCAAUCGCACAGUUUGACCUCGGAUCAGGCGGGGAUACCCGCUGAACUUAA
rnacentral:rRNA from 1 species